rnacentral:rRNA from 5 species
GCAGCGAUGCGUUGAGCUAACCGGUACUAAUGAACCGUGAGGCUUAACCUUACAACGCCGAAGGUGUUU